rnacentral:lncRNA from 1 species
CUCGGUCAUCAUGGCGCGCAACGCGCGACACAUGGCCGCUCGAAAGGCCGCCUUGCGGGCCUCUUGGCGUGCCGCCUUGUUGUUGUUGUUUUGGUGGCGGUGGCGGUGGUUGGGAUCGCGACUCUGGGCGUGGUCGUCGCCGUCGGUUGCAACGUGCGCGUCAUCGGCGUGUUGGGUGGCCUCCUCGUCGUUGGUAUGGCACGCCUCGGCCUGCUGGGCCGCCUUUUCGGCAGCGGCCCUGCGGGCGAUGGCCGCCUGUGCGCGGCGCUGGUGGCGGUUCAUCGGCGCGGCUGCGGUGGACGUGGUCGUGCUCAUGGUGCAGUGCAGCG